GGAGCCUGCUUCUGAGAGCAGAGGAACUGAAAGCUCACUGGCAGGACAAAUACAUGAUUGCGACCAAGCUGGAGUGAAUACCUCUGGAGACAUGGUGAUCUCACCUGGAGAAGCCUUCAGGCUGAACUGUACUUUCAUAUGUUUAAAAAACAGCCACGUUGCACAGCUGUGGAAGAACAACGAGUCUCUUGUCAACAUUUCCUCUGCAUUACCCAAUGUGACCCUGGUCCUGAAUGUCCAGUCUUUUACAAAGGCACACACUGGACAAUACCAAUGCAAGACCUACCCACCCCAUACCAUUAGUCCUGCUUUUAGUAUUCAAAUAGCAAAUAACUUCACAGGAAAACCACCUUCCUUGACCAUCAGCAGCCCAAAGUGUAACUGCACCCAGCAGACCCACAAUGCAGCAGGUCUGAAGGGUCAGCUGUGGUUCUGGGUGCUUCUGGGAAAAACUACCAUCCUGCUCCUGAGCCUGGCCUCGCUGGCUGUAAAACACAAGACAGAAUGAGAUCAGACGGACACCCAUAUCUCCUCUCAGCAUUGCUUUGUUUGUAUUAUUCAGUUUUAAGAUGUAGCCUCUUUUAUUCUGUCUUCUUUUAAAUUUAAGCUCUGCAUUAUUUAGUCCGCAAUUAACACGCAUGCACACACACAUUUGACUAAAUACCCACUGCAAGGAACAAUCAGUUUAUACUGGGGCUCACUCAUUUGCAGUAAAUUUGUUUAUUUGUGGUGUCUGAUUUGCUGAAGCUUUGCUCUUUAAAUUAACACCAGGAUCCAUGAUUUUGCUAAUUAUUUUCAUCAUGAUUUGCUUAAAAUAAUGAAAACAUGACAAAGGUGUUUUUAAAACAACUCGAGACAUUAAAACAGUAAAUAAUUCCCUUAUUAACUCUCCAAUAGUUUGCUCUGAGGCUGCAUAACCAACACCAGAUUAUGUCGACUCCUUGAGUGGAUGGACGGGAACAUGAUAGUAUUCCUCAGUAUUAUUGUCUGCACAUAGAGAGGGCUAGAUGAACAUGGGGCACUGGUUUAGGUCACUGUUGUGAUCUACAUCCUGAAAGGUUAAUGAUGCAGAGGCCCUGAGCUGCUCGCUGCUCCUCUUUGUCCCAGCUUUCUUCUGUUCUCUUCACUGUCAUGCUGCUAAAUAAAUGCAACAAAU
ensembl:lncRNA